rnacentral:rRNA from 1 species
UACGUAGGUGGCUAGCGUUGUCCGGAUUUACUGGGCGUAAAGAGCGCGCAGGCGGUCGUUCAAGUCGAGUGUGAAAGCCCCCGGCUCAACUGGGGAGGGUCACUCGAUACUGAUCGACUCGAAGGCAGGAGAGGGAAGCGGAAUUCCCGGUGUAGUGGUGAAAUGCGUAGAUAUCGGGAGGAACACCAGUGGCGAAGGCGGCUUGCCAGAACGCGCUCGACGGUGAGGGAUGGAAAGCU